rnacentral:rRNA from 1 species
UUUACGGAGAGUUUGAUCCUGGCUCAGGACGAACGCUGGCGGCGUGCUUAACACAUGCAAGUCGAACGAUGAUGCCCAGCUUGCUGGGUGGAUUAGUGGCGAACGGGUGAGUAACACGUGAGUAACCUGCCCCUGACUCUGGGAUAAGCGUUGGAAACGACGUCUAAUACUGGAUAUGAUCACUGGCCGCAUGGUCUGGUGGUGGAAAGAUUUUUUGGUUGGGGAUGGACUCGCGGCCUAUCAGCUUGUUGGUGAGGUAAUGGCUCACCAAGGCGACGACGGGUAGCCGGCCUGAGAGGGUGACCGGCCACACUGGGACUGAGACACGGCCCAGACUCCUACGGGAGGCAGCAGUGGGGAAUAUUGCACAAUGGGCGAAAGCCUGAUGCAGCAACGCCGCGUGAGGGAUGACGGCCUUCGGGUUGUAAACCUCUUUUAGUAGGGAAGAAGCGAAAGUGACGGUACCUGCAGAAAAAGCACCGGCUAACUACGUGCCAGCAGCCGCGGUAAUACGUAGGGUGCAAGCGUUGUCCGGAAUUAUUGGGCGUAAAGAGCUCGUAGGCGGUUUGUCGCGUCUGCUGUGAAAUCCCGAGGCUCAACCUCGGGCUUGCAGUGGGUACGGGCAGACUAGAGUGCGGUAGGGGAGAUUGGAAUUCCUGGUGUAGCGGUGGAAUGCGCAGAUAUCAGGAGGAACACCGAUGGCGAAGGCAGAUCUCUGGGCCGUAACUGACGCUGAGGAGCGAAAGCAUGGGGAGCGAACAGGAUUAGAUACCCUGGUAGUCCAUGCCGUAAACGUUGGGCGCUAGAUGUAGGGACCUUUCCGGUUUCUGUGUCGUAGCUAACGCAUUAAGCGCCCCGCCUGGGGAGUACGGCCGCAAGGCUAAAACUCAAAGGAAUUGACGGGGGCCCGCACAAGCGGCGGAGCAUGCGGAUUAAUUCGAUGCAACGCGAAGAACCUUACCAAGGCUUGACAUACACCGGAAACGGCCAGAGAUGGUCGCCCCCUUGUGGUCGGUGUACAGGUGGUGCAUGGUUGUCGUCAGCUCGUGUCGUGAGAUGUUGGGUUAAGUCCCGCAACGAGCGCAACCCUCGUUCUAUGUUGCCAGCGGGUUAUGCCGGGGACUCAUAGGAGACUGCCGGGGUCAACUCGGAGGAAGGUGGGGAUGACGUCAAAUCAUCAUGCCCCUUAUGUCUUGGGCUUCACGCAUGCUACAAUGGCCGGUACAAAGGGCUGCGAUACCGUAAGGUGGAGCGAAUCCCAAAAAGCCGGUCUCAGUUCGGAUUGAGGUCUGCAACUCGACCUCAUGAAGUCGGAGUCGCUAGUAAUCGCAGAUCAGCAACGCUGCGGUGAAUACGUUCCCGGGCCUUGUACACACCGCCCGUCAAGUCAUGAAAGUCGGUAACACCCGAAGCCGGUGGCCUAACCCUUGUGGAAGGAGCCGUCGAAGGUGGGAUCGGUGAUUAGGACUAAGUCGUAACAAGGUAGCCGUACCGGAAGGUGCGGCUGGAUCACCUCCUUU